GAUGAAGAACGCAGCGAAAUGCGAUAAGUAAUGUGAAUUGCAGAAUUCAGUGAAUCAUCGAAUCUUUGAACGCACAUUGCGCCCCCUGGUAUUCCGGGGGGCAUGCCUGUUCGAGCGUCAUUUCACCACUCAAGCCUCGCUUGGUAUUGGGCAACGCGGUCCGCCGCGUGCCUCAAAUCGACCGGCUGGGUCUUCUGUCCCCUAAGCGUUGUGGAAACUAUUCGCUAAAGGGUGUUCGGGAGGCUACGCUGUAAAACAACCCCAUUUCUAAGGUUGACCUCGGAUCAGGUAGGGAUAGCCGCUGAACUUAAGCAUAUCAAUAAGCGGAGGA
rnacentral:misc_RNA from 1 species